AUUUCCAUACAUUAUAUUUCUUUCCUCUCCUUUAAAAGUUUUAUUAUUAAGUUUGGUAUUAUAAAACAUUCAUCAAGUCUUCAAUUUUUAAAUUUUAGGAUAAAGAUAUGUAUGAUUAUGCUAAAAGACCUUAAUUUAUUUUAAAAAUAAUACUUUAAAUUUUAAUAACAAUUAAGUUGAGUGUUAAAGUGAAGGUUAAGACAAAUUAUUAUAGGAAGGUGUUGGGGCAAAUCGGCAAGUGUACUGAGUCGCACAAGUAAUAUAAAAUGGUAAGACCAAGUAUCAUAUCCUAGAGGACUCUCGGCGCUGAACAGUUGUGUGAAAACAAGAUUAAUUAAGACUUAGAGUAAAAGAGAUCAUGGGUUUGUAUUGCAAAAAAUAAUAAAAUAAAGCAAAUUAAUAUUGAUCAGUGGCAAAAGAGCACAGAGAUGAAUGAAGAUUGAUUUAUAUGAGAUGAGUAUGUUGUUGGAG
rnacentral:lncRNA from 1 species